CUUAAGAUUCAAAUAUAAAGUAUUUUUAAACUUUUAUUAAAA
rnacentral:tRNA from 1 species